GGCAAUGCUGAUGUGGAGGCAAUGUGUGAAAAAAAAAUGUCAAUUUCCUUUGUGUUGUGAUGGGAGGAUGGAUGUGAGGCAGGAGGAGAGGAACAGGGAAAACUACUGCUGUAGUGAGUGCUGUAAUGGCAACGCAAACAUGACAAGAUGCCGUUCUGAAUGUUGCUUCCAUGGGAAGCACACCAACAUGCACCUGUUUGAUCUGAUGGGUAAAGGCAGCGGGCACCUUCAUGCAGCACUGGACACAUGACUGUCGACAGGGAUGGAAACAUACAGUUUUCUGGGUGCUUGCAAUCAGGGAUGGGAGGAAAUUGCCUGCACUCAGAGAAAAGAUCAUAGUACAUGAAGAUACUGAUGGACAAAUUUGUUAUUACUCAAAGCCAUCACUAUGGUUAUAGGGUGUUUGUGAUGGCUUUG